UUAACUCAAAGUAUGCAGUUGGAACAGCGCCCCUAGCGGCAAACGUAGGCAAACGUUCCAACUGCAUACAAAUUUGAGUUA
rnacentral:pre_miRNA from 1 species